rnacentral:tRNA from 1 species
GUGGGUACAGCUCAGUGGUAGAGCAUGUGCUUAGCAUAUGUGAGGUCCUGGGUUCAAUUCCCAGUACCUCCA